CGAAAGCCUGACGGAGCAAGACCGCGUGGGGGAGGAAGGCUCUAGGGUUGUAAACCUCUUUUCUCAAGGAAGAAGUUCUGACGGUACUUGAGGAAUCAGCAUCGGCUAACUCCGUGCCAGCAGCCGCGGUAAGACGGAGGAUGCAAGCGUUAUCCGGAAUUAUUGGGCGUAAAGCGUCCGCAGGUGGCGAUUCAAGUCUGCUGUCAAAGCACGGGGCUUAACUCCGUAAAGGCAGUGGAAACUGAAUAGCUAGAGUGCCGUAGGGGUAGAGGGAAUUCCCGGUGUAGCGGUGAAAUGCGUAGAGAUCGGGAAGAACAUCGGUGGCGAAAGCGCUUUGCUAGACCGAAACUGACACUCAGGGACGAAAGCUAGGGGAGCG
rnacentral:rRNA from 1 species